UACGGGGGGGGUAAGCGUUGUUCGGAAUUACUGGGCGUAAAGGGCUCGUAGGCGGCCAACUAAGUCAGACGUGAAAUCCCUCGGCUUAACCGGGGAACUGCUUCUGAUACUGGAUGGCUUGAGUUUGGGAGAGGGAUGCGGAAUUCCAGGUGUAGCGGUGAAAUGCGUAGAUAUCGUGAGGAAGACCAGUGGCGAAGGCGGAUCUCUGGACAGUUCCUGACGCUGAGGCGCGAAGGCCAGGGGAGCAAACGGG
rnacentral:rRNA from 1 species